AUAAAGCGCAUUAGCGGUAGUAACGGCAUCCUUUUUACAAAUUUAAUUAAUUGCGUGAUGGUGCCCUUGUUAAUUUGAGUUUUUCUCUGUGGUUCUUUAAAUUUCCUUAGGUUGUAAAAAGAUAUAGUGGAUGACGCGACCCACC
rnacentral:sRNA from 1 species